UCCGUAGGGGGCAAGCGUUGACCGGAUUUAUUGGGCGUAAAGAGCGUGUAGGCGGCUUUACAGGUCCGUUGUGAAAACUCGAGGCUCAACCUCGAGACGCCGGUGGAAACCGUAAAGCUAGAGUCCGGAAGAUGAGAGUGGAAUUCCUGGUGUAGCGGUGAAAUGCGCAGAUAUCAGGAGGAACACCAAUUGCGAAGGCAGCUCGCUGGGACGUUACUGACGCUGAGACGCGAAAGCGUGGGGAGCAAACAGG
rnacentral:rRNA from 1 species